GUGGUUGUUGAAGUUUAGUUUUAAAGACUGUCUAACAGUGUAUGAGUAAAUGUAAAUUCAUAAAUAUUUGAUCAAAAAUGCAACUUGAAUGUAAAAAUCUUAGUCACACCUUUAAACCAGACUUUGAAACAGUUGUAGAUUAUUGGUUUUCAUUAAAGCUUUAGAUAUAUAAUGUAAUAUAAAUCUGAUUCACAAAAUGUAUAUGAAUAUAUUCACAUAAUAUCUUUGCAUAAUAUUAACCAUUUAUAAUAUAAUUCUAAAUCCUGAGGUUGCAGUUUUCUGUAUUGCUCUUAUUUUCUUUCCAGAGGAUUUUUCUCCGUCCUUCUUUUUCUUAAGUUAAAAUGUUUUCAAUUUAAUCACCUUCAUUUUAUUUGAGGAAAAAAUAUGAUUAUUUAAAAGAUGUGAAUUGAGAGGAUUUAUGUUUGUAGCUUUAUUAAUUUUUUUCUUUGUCCUUGCAUUGUGAUUUCAAUAAUGUUAGUUUUUUUUAUCCAUAGUUUUUUAAAAAUAGUAAUACUUUAUAUGCUAAUUGUAAGUAAACUACAACGUUAACUAUAGCAGCCUUUGCAGUGUAGCAAGCCAAAAAUGUUAUUAGUUGAAAAUUCAGUUUUGUUAAAGUAGGGAAAAUGGAAUUUUUAUUGGCAAUGUUCAAAAUUGAUGGUAUUAGUUCACCAACUACUUGCUGAAUGUUGGUCUUUCUAGCCUAGUAUCAGAGAGGAUAGGGUACUAUUGUGUCAUGUUGUGUUUUUAAUUGCACUUUUAUGUGCUAAUUAGAGCAUUAUUUAUGGAAGGUAUAGCUCAGUUGUCAUAGGGCUUUCCCAGUGCACAUGAAGCCCAUGGUUCAAUCCCCACCACCAAGUAAAUCAGGCACGGUGACACACACUGCACUUGGGAGCUAGAAACAGGAGAAUCAGAAUGUCUCAGUUCUCUUUGGCCACAGGACAAAUUUUAGGCCCUAUUAGGGUAGGCUACAGGAGAAUCUGUCUUAAAGAAAAUAAAACACAUUUUAUUAAAAAGCAUGUGUAUAUAUACUGCUCAAAGUAGUAUUUACAAAUAGGUUGCUUCAUAAAUAUUUACCUACCAUCUCUAGAUUCCUAUCUCUUUUCAGUGUUCAGCGUAAAUGAGGUAUUAACAUUGCCCCAGCAGGCACAGCUUCUGUCUAGUGCUUUGUUCUGCCAGUGCUGCUUUGUCUUCUAGUGAUUUGCAGGACUGGUGCCCGUCUUCACUUUGUUUAGCCCUAUAAAAUGCCUGUCUUCAUUUCAUCUUAAACACUGAAAUGGUUCUUUCUGUUUUCUUUUUCUUUUGUUUGUUUAUUUCUGUUUUUUGGUUUUUGUCUUUUUUUCUGAGACAGGGUUUCUCUGUUGGAUCUGGCUGUCCUGGAACUCACUUUGUUGACCAGGUUAGCUUUGAACUCACAGAGCUCAACCAGCCUCUGCCUCCCAAGUCCUGGGAUUAAAGGUGCAUGUCAGUACACCUGACUGCUUAUUUCUUGGAGAUAGAUAGAGGGGUUUCAUUGCUUUCUAAGAUUGCUGUACUGGGUGUUGUUUCAAUAUACACAAGUUUGAUAAACAACUUCUUCUCCUCCUCUUUCUUCUCCUCCUUCUUCUUAAUAUAGAUAUUUAAUGUAUGUGAGUACACUGUAGCUGUCUUCAGACACACCAGAAAAGGACAUUGGAUCCCAUUGCAGAUGGUUGUGAGCCACCAUGUGGUUGCUGAGAAUGGAACUCAAGACCUCUAGAAGUGCAGUCAGUGCUCUUAACCACUGAGCCAUCUCUCUAGCCCUUUGAUAAACUUCUUUAAAAAUUGCAAAUGGAUUCUGUAGUUUGCCAUAUACAUAUAGCUGCUGCCAGCUAUGUGUAAUAACAAGUAAGACUGUCCCGGAGCUGUUUCUUGAUUAGGAAUUACAUAACUUUAGAAAUUUACCUUUAAACAAUUUCUUCCUCUUAACCAAAUCCAAAAGCAUUUGUUUUGCAAGAGUGACACAUUGUGGCAGGAGAGAGGUACUUCAGUUCCAGGGUCUACUGGUCCCUUCUCUUUUCAGUACAGGCAGGGUCUUGAACUCAAAGUGCUUGCUCUAAUUCAGGGAUAUCCCCACCUCCAGAUUCAGCCUUUCAGAGAAGAAAAUUCUUGGGAUACUACUGGAGUUUUUAGAGAUGCUAAUCAGUGGCAUGUUGAUAGUCUUUUUGCAUGUAGGUAUCCAGUAAGUAGGAAUUUUUAUGUUUUCUUUAUUCUCCCUAAAUAAAUAGUUUUUAAGUUGAUUUUGUAUGUGUAAAAGCGAAGCAUAGUAGGAACUAAAAAUGUAGUUUAUACAAAAUUCCACCAAAGAUACCCACCACUUAAAAUAGUUUCAGUACUAUCUACUUAUUGAUACAUUUUAUGCCAUGUAAGCAAGAUUCUAUUUUCUAUGCUUAUCUGUGACCAACGUUUAUAGGCUGACCUUGUCCUGCUUAUGUUUGGAUUUAAAAUCUCUCAUAAUUGUUUGAUAUUUCUUUUGCUCUUUUGUGCAACUUUUCUGUGUUAUAAUUAAAACAUGACCUUGUUUUUCAUAUUUUCAUACUCAGGACUAGAGUUAAGCACCUCACUCCAAGAAUUACAGCCACCUUUAUAGUACAACAAUUUAACCACAGAGUUUUGUUGCUUAACAAUAUUCCUUUUUAAAAAAAGGAUAUUUACUUGAACAUUUACUUAAACAUAUUUUGCUUAAUUAAUUUUUUCUGUAUAUGGGCAUUUUGCCUGCAUAUAUAAUUGUUUACCAUAUGUUUGCUAGGUGCCAUAAAGGCUGGAAGAUGAGGGUGUUGUAUUCCCUGAAGCUGGAGUUACAACUGGGACCUCACCUUGCUGGUGCUGGGAAUUAAGCCUGGACCCUUUGGAAGAAUAGCCAAUGAGUGCUCAGAAUUGCUGCUCCAUCUCUUGAAUCCCUUCUAUUUUACUUUUUAAAGACAAGAAUGUGUUUGCCUAGUGUGAUAUCAAGCUCAUGAUUCUUUUGUUUUGGCCUCCUGACAGCUGGGAUUGAAAGUAUAUAUAGGUCUUAUGUAGCCCAUUCUGGUCUUCACUCGUUGUAUAGU
rnacentral:lncRNA from 1 species